UAAUGAAUAUGAAAAAAGGAACUGUGUCAACAGUUCCCUUUGACAGCACCGCUAAAGACGGUGGCAGAUAGAAUUAUUUAAUU
rnacentral:sRNA from 1 species